rnacentral:rRNA from 1 species
GAUGAACGCUGGCGGCGUGCCUAAUACAUGCAAGUCGAGCGAACAGAUAAGGAGCUUGCUCCUUUGACGUUAGCGGCGGACGGGUGAGUAACACGUGGGUAACCUACCUAUAAGACUGGAAUAACUCCGGGAAACCGGGGCUAAUGCCGGAUAACAUUUAGAACCGCAUGGUUCUAAAGUGAAAGAUGGUUUUGCUAUCACUUAUAGAUGGACCCGCGCCGUAUUAGCUAGUUGGUAAGGUAACGGCUUACCAAGGCAACGAUGCGUAGCCGACCUGAGAGGGGGACGCGCCACAGUGGGACUGAGAGAGGGCCAAGACGCGUGCGGGAGGCAGCAGGGGGGAAAAGUGUACAAUGGGCGGACGCGGGAGACAGAAACGUAGCGGGCGAGAUGAACGCCUUCGGGUUGUAAACAGAAAUAGCCUGAGACGAAGCGUGAGGUACGGUAAUGGGUAAAGAAGCAACGGCUAACUACGUG